rnacentral:rRNA from 1 species
CAAUAGCGUAUAUUAAAGUUGUUGCAGUUAAAAAGCUCGUAGUUGGAUUUCUGGUACAAUGCGCCUGGCCCGCGACCGUCAGGUCUGUGAGUGCCGGUGCGCGUUUGCCAUCCUUCUAGAAAACGUCUCUACUCGGGCAACUGAGCCGGAUUCGCGAUCUAGAUCUUUUACUUUGAAAAAUUAGAGUGUUUAAAGCAGGCUAUUGCCUUGAAUACAUUAGCAUGGAAUAAUAAUCUAGGACUUCGGUUCUAUUUUGUGGUUUCUAGUACUGAAGUAAUGAUUGAUAGGGAUAGUUGGGGGUGCUAGUAUUGACCGGCCAGAGGUGAAAUUCUUGGAUUCGGUCAAGACUAACUUAUGCGAAAGCAUUCACCAAGGAUGUCUUCUUUAAUCAAGAACGAAAGU